rnacentral:rRNA from 1 species
AUUGAACGCUGGCGGCAGGCUUAACACAUGCAAGUCGAGCGGGGGAGGUUGCUUCGGUAACUGACCUAGCGGCGGACGGGUGAGUAAUGCUUAGGAAUCUGCCUAUUAGUGGGGGACAACAUUCCGAAAGGGAUGCUAAUACCGCAUACGCCCUACGGGGGAAAGCAGGGGAUCUUCGGACCUUGCGCUAAUAGAUGAGCCUAAGUCGGAUUAGCUAGUUGGUGGGGUAAAGGCCUACCAAGGCGACGAUCUGUAGCGGGUCUGAGAGGAUGAUCCGCCAGAGUGGGACUGAGACACGGCCCAGACUCCUACGGGAGGCAGCAGUGGGGAAUAUUGGACAAUGGGCGGAAGCCUGAUCCAGCCAUGCCGCGUGUGUGAAGAAGGCCUUUUGGUUGUAAAGCACUUUAAGCGAGGAGGAGGCUCUUAAGGUUAAUACCCUUGAUGAGUGGACGUUACUCGCAGAAUAAGCACCGGCUAACUCUGUGCCAGCCGCCGCUGUAAAAC